AAGAUUAAGCCAUGCAUGUCUAAGUAUAAGCACUUUAUACUGUGAAACUGCGAAUGGCUCAUUAAAUCAGUUAUAAUUUACUUGAUAGUACCUUACUACUUGGAUAACAGUGGUAAUUCUAGUGCUAAUACAUGCUUUAAGCCCCGACUUCUGGAAGGGGUGUAUUUAUUAGAUUAAAAACCAAUCGUAGCAAUACGUUUACUGGUGAAUCAUGAUAACUAUUCGAAUCGCAU
rnacentral:rRNA from 1 species